GCGUUCCUGAGGGUGGCAGGCGCUGCGAAAGCUUUGCAUGCUUCCCCUAAGGCGAGAAACAGCCCAAACAGUGAUCGUUUCACAAAUCCGCCUCUGUCCUGACGGAGUUCAGCAGCUCCUGCAGCCACAUACAGCACUGAAAUCUGUCACGCCACAGCAGAAACGCGCUGCUCUGGAGCGCGGCACUGGCGCUGCGCAGCGGGUGGGUUUGGUCCCCGUUUGCCCUGCUGUGCCAUCUGGCGCCUUGUGAGCUGAGUGCUAUAAACAUGGCGAGCCAAAGGAAGACUGUAGAAAACAACUGAAGGAAGCUAUGAAGACUGUUGCGAAAGCAAAGAAGCCAGCUGGACUGAUCAUGAGAUGAAGGCUCAGAGAGAUACCUAACAGUAUCAUACUGAAGAUCAUGAAGUCAGGAGCAGAACUGAGGUGAAACUCUAGAUCUCUUAACUCCAUCCCAGCAGAAA